AUUGAACGCUGGCGGCAGGCCUAACACAUGCAAGUCGAGCGAGCGGCGGACGGGUGAGUAAUUUCUGGGAAACUGCCUGAUGGCGGGGGAUAACUCCUGGAAACGGUAGCUCAUCCCGCAUACAAUCAUCUGUGCCCAGAUGGGAUUAGCUAGUAGGUGUGGUAACGGCUCACCUAGGCGACGAUCCCUAGCUGGUCUGAGAGGAUGACCAGCCACACUGGAACUGAGACACGGUCCAGACUCCUACGGGAGGCAGCAGUGGGGAAUAUUGCACAAUGGGCGCAAGCCUGAUGCAGCCAUGCCGCGUGUGUGAAGAAGGCCUUCGGGUUGUAAAGCACUUUCAGCGGGGAGGCGUUACCCGCAGAAGAAGCACCGGCUAACUCCGUGCCAGCAGCCGCGGUAAUAC
rnacentral:rRNA from 1 species